GGGUCAGUAGGUCGGUCGUGCCAACGGUAUGAACUGGCCUCACUGAUUCCUCCCUCUUGUAGAACCGUGAUGCCAUUAACUUGGUGUUGCGGGGAAACAGGACUGUUACUUUGAAAAAAUUAGAGUGUUUAAAGCAGGCUAACGCUUGAAUACAUUAGCAUGGAAUAAUGAAAUAGGACGUCGAUCUUAUUUUGUUGGUUUCUAGGGUUGACGUAAUGAUUAAUAGGGAUAGUUG
rnacentral:rRNA from 1 species